AUUUUGUCGUGGAUGGUACAGUGGCAUUGAACUUUUAAUGCUUUCAUAGUAGAAUUGCGAAAGUAGAGAUAGUUGUAACCGUGUAAGUUAAUCUCAUGGUACCGGUACCCUGAGUGCGUUGUCAGGUCACGGUUCAUAAGGGUGAUACGGUACCAUACCGGUAAAAGUUACAUAUUCCGUAUCCCUGGACACCGUAGGUACCGGUAACUAACGACAGAACGAAAUGAGGCCCUAUGACAAUGGACUGGAAAAUUAACCUGCUUCAAUACCAUCUUUCACGCAAUCAUACACUGUGUCAUUUCAAGCAUCUCAAUGUUUCAAUGCGGACAAUGCCCAAAACAGAUAAGAUAUUUGUCAAGUCUCGGAGGUUACUUCAAGAAAGACUGGAUUGAAGAAUCAUGAGCUCAGUUAUAACAAAUUUACUCGCCCGCUCUUUCAACUGUGCAGGACGCGGUGAUUAAGAAGGAGUGAGUGGGACGCCCUUAGUUUCUGCUAUUAAAGCUCUGGAUGAUCUGGCAACGAACUCCGAUUAAUUUUAUUACAUGUAUACAUAUUUGUAAAAUAAAGACAUUUUGUUA